rnacentral:lncRNA from 1 species
UAAGAGAAGUCUGAAGCCGUUAGCAGUCUACAUGAAUGCAUGAUGACUGCAGUAACAUAUAUUUAUCCCACAAGUGAGGAGAGAAUUGAUUACUCUAGAGAACUAAAGCCAUAACUAAUUCACAGAGACUCUUUCUUAUGAUGAGGAUAAAUAUUCUGUGUCAUUCUGACCCAUAAAAUAUACUGUUUUUAUAGCAGACUCAUUGUAAUAAUUCAUCUUAAAUGUCUUAUGGACAUAUUUUCCUAUGAUUUCCAAAUAGGAAUCAUUGGACGUUCUUGUUUUCAAAAUAAGUUUAGGGAUUAAAAAUAAUAAGUAGCUUUAAGUAACAUUGUUAUACUUGCUUCAGAAAUAAAGAGAUAUAAUGUUGUGUACAUUAUAUGUUCCCUUCUUGAUAUUUAUCAAAAAUAACUUAUUGGUGCACAUUCACGGGUAUUUUGCAUAUUCACAGUUAUUCAUGGGUAUUUUUUGCAUAUUAUGGCUUGCUUCAGAAACUGAAGGUGUAUAUAGGAGACUCUAUUUGCAAAUGAACAAAUAGGCAAUAAGCUAAUCCCCCAGUGUGACAUUUUACUUCAGGUAAAAAUUACUUCCUAUUUCUUCUCAUCUACUGCUGCGCCAAUUUGAAACUAGUUUUUUAUUAAAAGGUAAAGGUAUUUGCUUACUUUUAUAAAUGCAUUGACACUUUUUUGAGUCUAUUAUAAAAGUUUGCUAUUUUAUCUUUUUUUAUUGGAAGGCUGAUGGAAGAUAGGAGUACACUGAGGAUCUUGGGACCGGGCUCUUAUGAAAGGGUUAGAACAAACCAUUUUGCUUUUGGUUGAUGUAAAUUAUCAGGUGGCUUAGAACAUAUUUGUGUCUUGUAUAUUAUGUUUAAUGUUGGCAAGAAGGAAAGAUUAAAGUAUGAUUUUAAAUGGCAUGAGUUAGAAAUGUUGGUGUUGAUAUUUUCUUAGACUUGUGGACUUCACUUAAUUCUUAGCCAGCAUUAGAAUUAAUAGAAACUGCAGAUACUUGAGGGUAGAGGGUGGGAGGAGGGAGAGGAGCAGGAAAGAUAGCUAUUGGCUACUGUGCUUAAUACCUAGGUGAUGAAAUAGUCUGUACAUGAGUACAUGGGUUUACCUAUGUAAUAAACCUUCACAUGUACCCCUGAACCUAAAAUAAUUGUUAAUAAGAAACUGCAGAUAUUCGUUGAUAUAAUGUUCCAUAUUUACAGAUGAAGACAAUCAGACUCAAAUAGGUUAAGCUGCCCAAAGUCACAGAGAUAAUUCAACAUAAAUGAAGAAGAAAGCUAAGCAAAUAGAGUUUUUAUUCUUUUUGUUUAUUUGAGGGAAAUGGGGUAGCAAAGGAAAAAAUCAAAGUAGCUGUAUGAAAUUUUUGAAUACGUAGAAUUUCUUCACAUUUCAGUGUUUAAUACAUUACUCUAAAGGGGCAAACAUACUAUUUUCCUUUAUCUAAAUGAAGCCAAGAUUGUUAUAAUGUCCAGAAAUAUAAAGAAAAGGACUGGAAAGAUAGAUAUUAGGUUCUGCAUGGCUAGAUUUGGGGUCACUUCAACAAAGACUGGCUUUUUAAUAGUAUCAGCCCACAUCUCCCAGUCCUAGAACCUUGCAGAGCUUCCUGUGGUUUCGCCUUUGGAGUUCAGUGUUUGGAUGGUCACCUUCAGGCUAGUACUUUCUAGGGAUCUGAACUUAUUGAGCUGAGUCACUUGGUUUGGUCCAAAUGGUCACUUGCAAGGCCGGUUAAAAUCUAUGUUUCCAUCUAUCUCUGAAUUAGUGGGUGAUAGAAAGUAGCCUGGGUGAAUUCUUUAAUUCUUUUACUUAUUGACUGUUGACUCUUAUUGGCCUUUUUCUGUAUAUAGCAAUAAUGCUAAUGAUAAUAAUUUCUUUGGAAAUACGUGAACCAUUCUUAGUCCUCAGAGUAUUUCUACAAGACCAUUUAUGUUGAUUCUCACCAUAACAGUUUGAGAGUGUAAACGAAGAUAUACUGGGGGAUAUUACAGUCAAUAGGUUGAAAGAAUUACAAGAGGUCAUUCAUUUAUUAAGCAGCUGCUAAGCACUGGUCAUUGCGUCAGGCAAACUGGUUAAUGUUGAAGCCAGGACAGAACCUACAGUCUGUGAUCUGGGUCUCACUUCUCUCAGCCCUUCUCUCCCUUUUCUCUUGCUUCUCUUUCUUUCUGCCCAUGCAGUGCAGCAGCUUUCCCUAGGGCCUAUUUACCAGGCUUCUGUUUUAAACUAUACAUUAUUUGUUCUCAGUUCAAGGUUAGCAGAUCUUGUCCACAUCCCUGUGGGAGAACCUAAUAAGCUCAGGUGAAGCGCAGCUCAACAUUGGGAACAACAGUAAAUGUUUGCACCAUUAAAGGUACUGAAUUGUUCCAUGUUAUCAACAGCAGCCUUUCAGUCAUACUCAUCUGAAAAAUGAAGCCUCUCUGAAAAUCACCACUUGAACUUAUGUCCAUGGACUGUGAUCACCUGUAGCCCUAUCUGUAAGCCAUCUGAAGUCCAGUGUCUGUGUUGUAUGUGAUUUCAUCUCAGUAGAGUGCAGUUUAGCACCUUAUUUUGUCAUGUAUAGAACUCUAAUAUAUUAAACAAAUAAUAAAAGUGGAACUCCCUCAUAAAUGAUUUAGAUAUUCUCCUUAUAUGAAAGGUCUUAUAGUAACAGAUAAUUUGUUCAACAGCAACUGUGUUUUGAAUAAUGCAGGGAAAGAAUGCUUCCUCCAUUUUGAACUGAUGAUGAAUAUAUCUGUGAGUGAAAAAGCAAUAAUAAAAGGUGGAUCCUGGAUUCUUCUCUAUGCCAUCUCUAAAAUGUAAAUGUUUGUUGAUUAAAUGCAUCUUAUUUGGGAACCAAAAAAAAAAACCAAGCAAAUAUUGGUUUUCAUGAGUCAUGUGCUCAUAUUCCAAAUGCAGAAUAGAAAGUUUAUGGAAAGACUCAAAUAUUGCUGUUUACCUUUAUUAUGCAAAACACUGUGAGUUGUUUUUUCUUCAUUUGUUAAUGCAAAAACACUGAUUUAAAAAAAUGAGACAAUGGAAUGAGCAAUUAUCAAAUGGUUUUUGCAAAAUGCAUUUAAAAUCUACUUUUUAAAAAUGAUUCAUUUGAAGCAUAUUAAAAGGUACACAUAAUAAAUAUAUUAUUAUACCAUUAUAUAAUAAUUAUACCAUUAUACUAGUGGCUUCAUGCUACGCUUACUAUAUGAACUGGCAGCAGGGAAUAAAAAUUUAUCUUGGUGCUUCUUAUCUUUUUCUUUUCUGGUAAUUUUAAGUCACUUUCUGUUGUUAUUCUUUAAUAAAUAGUCUAGGUAAGCAGCCAGGACUCUCCCAAAGCUGUGUUUAGGUAGGAAGAAUACAUGUUACUGACAAAAGUGUCAAGUGAGUUAGUUAAACAAGUCUUGGACAUUUCCAUCCCCUAUUCUAUAAUCCUCCCCUGGGUGCCUAGCCCUGUAACCUUAUGUGGCUCUCCAGGGGCCUACUUUUAAGACCUUCCCCCAAACCCACUCUUCCAAUGCAAACUUUCCUUCCCAAGGCUUUCUGUGGUCCAUUAACCAACAUGGGCCUGUUUUCUGACCCUUUUUUUUUUUUUAAUUUCAUCCUGGACCUAGCUAAAAACUAAGCCUUGUUAAUAAGCCAGUGAUGAGUUCCUGCAUUAUGCAUCCUCAGUAAGACAUAAAUGUACAUUAUAGGAAACAGCCUUAUGAUUUUUAUCUUAUUUAUACUUGCUUUGUGUGUCUAUUUAGGAAAAAAAGAUAAUAUAAGAUGGUACGAUAUUCCCAGUAUAACACUAUGUAUUUCAGGUGACAGAAAGUAGAGUUAUGUUUUCCUUUUUAAAUGAAAAUAGAAUAUUAAAAUGAGAGUCAGAGGACCUGAGCCCUACUCUCAGCUCUGCCACUAACAGGCUUUGUAAUCUCAUACAACUUAAUUAGUUAUGUAUCUCCCACAAGAUUUUUAAUUUCUUUUUUUGUUAUUAUUAUACUUUAAGUUCUAGGGUACAUGUGCACAACGUGCAGGUUUGUUACAUAUGUAUACAUGUGCCAUGUUGGUGUGCUGCACCCAUUAACUCGUCAUUUACAUUAGGUAUUUCUCCUAAUGCUAUCCCUACCCACUCCCACCAUCCCACAACAGGCCCCGGUGUGUGAUGUUCCCCUCCCUGUGUCUAAGUGUUCUCAUUGUUCAAUUCCCACCUAUGAGUGAGAACAUGUGGUGUUUGGUUUUCUGUCCUUGCAAUAGUUUGCUGAGAAUGAUGGUUUCCAGCUUCAUCCAUGUCCCUACAAAGGACAUGAACUCAUCCUUUUUUAUGGCUGCAUAGUAUUCCAUGGUGUAUAUGUGCCACAUUUUCUUAAUCCAGUCAAUCAUUGAUGGGCAUUUGGGUUGUUUCCAAGUCUUUUCUAUUGUGAAUAGCCCCGCAGUACAAAUACAUGUGCACGUGUCUUUAUAGCACCAUGAUUUAUAAUCCUUUGGGUAUAUACCCAGUAAUGGGAUCACUGGGUCAAAUGGUAUUUCUAGUUCUAGAUCCUUGAGGAAUUGCCACACUGUCUUCCACAAUAGUUGAACUAGUUUACACUCCCACCAACAGUGUAAAAGUGUUCCUAUUUCUCCACAUCCUCUCCAGCACCUGUUGUUUCCUGACUUUGAAUGAUCACCAUUCUAACUGGUGUAAGAUGGUAUCUCAUUGUGGUUUUGAUUUGCAUUUCUCUGAUGAGCAGUGAUGAUGAGCAUUUUUUCAUGUGUCUGUUGGCUGCAUAAAUGUCUUCUUUUGAGAAGUGUCUGUUCAUAUCCUUUGCCCACUUUGUGAUGGGGUUGUUUGAUUUUUUUCUUGUAAAUUUAAGUUCUUUGUAGAUUCUGGAUAUUAGCCCUUUGUCAGAUGGGUAGAUUGCAAAAAUUUUCUCCCAUUCUCUAGGUUGCCUGUUCACUCCAAUGGUAGUUUCUUUUGCUGUGGAGAAGCUCUUUAGUUUAACUAGAUCCCAUUUGUCUAUUUUGGCUUUUGUUGCCGUUGCUUUUGGUGUUUUAGUCAUGAAGUCCUUGUCCAUGCCUAUGUCCUGAAUGGUAUUGCCUAGGUUUUCUUCUAGGCUUUUUAUGGUUUUAGGUCUAACAGUUAAGUCUUUAAUCCAUCUUGAAUUAAUUUUUGUACAAGGUGUAAGGAAGGGAUCCAGUUUCAGCUUUCUACAUAUGGCUAGCCAGUUUUCCCAGCACCAUUUAUUAAAUAGGGAAUUGUUUCCCCAUUUCUUGUUUUUGUCAGGUUUGUCGAAAUUCAGAUGGUUGUAGAUGUGUGGUAUUAUUUCUGAGGGCUCUGUUCUGUUCCAUUGGUCUAUAUCUCUGUUUUGGUACCAGUACCAUGCUGUUUUGGUUACUGUAGCCUUGAUAAACUAGGUAUUGAUUGGACAUAUCUCAAAAUAAUAACAGCUAUAUAUGACAAACCCACAGCCAAUAUCAUACUGAAUGGGCAAAAACUGGAAGCAUUCCCUUUGAAAACUGGCACAAGACAGGGAUGCCCUCUCUCACCACUCCUAUUCAACAUAGUGUUGGAAGUUCUGGCCAGGGCAAUUAGGCAGGAGAAAGAAAUAAAGGGUAUCAAUUAGGAAAAGAGGAAGUCAAAUUGUCCCUGUUUGCAGAUGACGUGAUUGUAUAUCUAGAAAACCCCAUCGUCUCAGCCCAAAAUCUUAAGCUGAUAAACAACUUCAGCAAAGUCUCAGGAUACAAAAUCAAUGUAGAAAAAUCACAAGCAUUCUUAUACACCAACAACAGACAAACAGAGAGCCAAAUCAUGAGUGAACUCCCAUUCACAAUUGCUUCAAAGAGAAUAAAAUACCUAGGAAUCCAGCUUACAAGGGAUGUGAAGGACCUCUUCAAGGAGAACUACAAACGGCUGCUCAACAAAAUAAAAGAGGACACAAACAAAUGGAAGAACAUUCCAUGCUCAUGGGUAGGAAGAAUCAAUAUCAUGAAAAUGGCCAUACUGCCCAAGGUAAUUUAUAGAUUCAAUGCCAUCCCCAUCAAGCUAUCAAUGACUUUCUUCACAGAAUUGGAAAAAACUACUUUAAAGUUCAUAUGGAACCAAAAAAGAGCCCGCAUUGCCAACACAAUCCUAAGCAAAAAGAACAAAGCUGGAGGCAUCACGCUACCUGACUUCUAGAUUUUUAAUUUCUUAAGGGUAGAACUGAAGCACAUAAUCCCAGUACUGUGGGAGGCCGAGGCAAGAGGAUCACUUGAGCCCUGGAGUUCAAGACCAGCCUAGGCAACAUAGCAAGACCCCGUAUCUACAAAAAAUAAAUUUAAAAAUUAUCUGGAUGUAGUUUGUUGCACCUGCAGUCCCAGCAACUCAGGAGUCUGAGAUGGGAGGAUUGCCUGAGCCCAAGAGUUUGAGGCUGCAGUGAGCCAUGAUAGAGCCACUGUGCUCCAGCCUGAACAAUAGAGCAAAUAGAGCAAAAUAUCCUGUUUCAAAUAAAAGGAUAGAAUUGAUGUUCAUUCAUAUUUAUCUCCAACAGUGAUUAGCAUAAUACCAUUUACAUAAUAGAUCUUCAAUAUACAGAUAUCUCCCAUGAUUUUCAGGCAAAUGGAGAAUUAAGGUGGACCUUAGGAGAGAAGUCAAAGCCAAAAAUGUAAAUUUUUGUGUUAUCAGCAUAGAGGUAUAACCUCAGGACCUUUGAAAUGGACAGGCUGAAGGAAGGUGAGAGAGAGCAUAUGGGAAGUGAAAACAUUAAAUUCAGGAACUUUGGAGCCACAAAAGUUUAGGGCGUGGUUGGAAGAAGAAAAGAAAAUUAAUUAGAUUUUAAAGCACAACAAUUAAAUAGAAAGCAAACCAAGAUAGUACAAUAUGUGGAGGGCAAGAGAGGAGAUCAUUUGGAAUGGUGAAUCUUUACCGGGACAGUUUUGCCCCCUAGGAACAUUCAGCAAUGUCUGGAAACAGAAACACAACCCAGUGGGUGUUAAUGCCCACUGUAGGUAGGGGCCAGGGAUGCUGCUAAGCAUCCUACAUUGAAAAGGGUAGCUCCCACGACCAAGAGUUAUCCAGCUAUCCUACAUUGGAAAGGGUAGCUCCCACGACCAAGAGUUAUCCAGCUAUCCUACAUUGGAAAGGGUAGCUCCCACGACCAAGAGUUAUCCAGCUAUCCUACAUUGGAAAGGGUAGCUCCCACGACCAAGAGUUAUCCAGCUAUCCUACAUUGGAAAGGGUAGCUCCCACGACCAAGAGUUAUCCAGCUAUCCUACAUUGGAAAGGGUAGCUCCCACGACCAAGAGUUAUCCAGCUAUCCUACAUUGGAAAGGGUAGCUCCCACGACCAAGAGUUAUCCAGCUGAAGAUGUCAAUACUGCCAAGUGUGAGAAAUCACAAUGUGUAAGGUCAUGGUCAACAGUGUUAGAUGCCCUAAGAAUCUGAGAAAAGGUUACAUUAUUUGGUAAUUAGUGGUGACUUUUUUGAAAAAGUUUCUCUACAUUAUGAAAGGAUAACGUUGGUGAAAGUGGGUAGCGAGACAGAGUUUACAAGACAUGAUGAUUUCUGAGAAGUUGGAAAGUAAGGUGGAAGGGUUAUUUUGUUUCUAAGAAUCAAAGAGACUUGACCCUGUUUCCAUAUUAAGAAGAGUUAAGAGAGUGAGGGAAGUGAGGGAGGAUGGGAAGGAGAGAGGGAGGGAAAGAGAUUAAAAGUGUGAAAAAGAGACGAGCAAUGCAUAUUAUUUCCUUAUAAUAAUAAGGAAAGUAAAGGUUAAGAGUGCAGAAAAGAGUUGGAGAAGAUCGUUUUGAGGAUGAAAAAGGAAGGGAUAGGUAAAUGAAUGGAAUUUUAAAAUGCAGAGAUACUGGAGAAGUUCACAAAAGAUGACCUUUCUCAGUGAAGUAGUAAAGUAUAAAUGGCCGAGAUUAAAAGAGGAGAGAUUGGCAACUAGAAAACAAAUUGAUAGCAGUCUUCCUGGAAGAUGGAUAAGGAAUAGGCUGGUGAUGACUGAAAGUUUUAUGGAAUGAUGUUGAAAACUCAGCUGACUUUGGAAAGCAUAAGUAGUGGGUUCAGUCAUCACAUUUAAAGUGGUUCCUCUAGAAAUGCCUAGUAGACAAAAGAAAAGGAAAGCAAACACAGAUGUUCAGCCGGACUAAGGGUGAGGAGUUGGCAAGACCCAACUGUGGUAUCAGAUCAAGGGCAUGAAAGGAGCAAAAAAAGACGCAGUUGAAAGGGUGCACCGUGUUUUGGGGCCGGGUCAUGAGGACUCUCAGCUCAGAGGAAGGGAAGCUGGUAAACUGGGGAACGGAGGGACUGAAGAAGUGAAAAUAUUGCAGAGGGCAAAUAGCUGAUCCAAUUUUAGGUGAUGAGGAGAAUAAAGUUGUUUCACUGUGGGGAACCUUCUGCAGUAAAGCGGCAUAAAAGUUGCCAGAAAGGAAAAAAAUGUCAUUUUUCCGGAGUCUCUGUUUUUAAAGUUAGGAACUGUCCUUGCCUUCAGGCAUCUUAAAGGGAAAAUAUUCUGUGAGUUAUUUCUACAUUUGCUGGCCUGUGUUGAUCAUUUUCUUCAGAUAUUCACAACUCUAUAAUAUGUAGGCAAUCCAUUCUUUUUGGGCUCAAAUAUAGACUUAGUCCAGAAUCUAUACUUCACUCUACUCCUUACUAGAUAAAUAACCUCAGGCAAGACAUUUCACCAACCUUUUUCUUUUUCUAUUUCUUUCUCUUUUUUUUUUUUUUUUCCACCUGCAAGAUGGGACUCAUGAGUUCUAGCUUCCGAGGCUGUCCUGAGGAUAAAUCAUGUACAACUAUAAAAUAUGUUAGGUUUAAAAUUAGCAAGAAAAAAACAAACAAUCCCAUCAAAAAACAGGUUAAGGACAUGAAUAGACAAUUCUCAAAAGAAGAUACACAAAUGACCAGCAAACAUGUGAAAAAAUGCUCAACAUCACUAACGAUCAGGGAAAUGCAAAUCAAAACCACAAUGUGAUACCACCUUACUCCUGCAAGAAUGGCCAUAAUAAAAAAAAUUUUAAAAAAUAGAUGUUGGCAUGGAUGCAGUGAAAAGGGAACAAUGUACACUGCUUGUGGGAAUGUAAACUAGUACAGCCACUAUGGAAAACAGUGUGGACAUUCCUUAAAUAACUAAAAGUAGAACUACCAUUUGAUCCAGCAAUCUCACUUCUGGGUAUCUACCCAGAAGAAAAUAAGUCAUUAUUUACAAAAGAUACUUAAACAUGCAUGUUUAUAGUAGCACAAUUCGCAACUGCAAAAAUGUGGAACCAGCCCAAAUUCCCAUGAAUCAACAAGUGGAUGAAGAAACUGUGGUAUAUAUGUAUAAUGGAAUACUACUCAGCCAUAAAAAAGGAAUGAAUUAAUAGCAUUCACAGCAACCUGGAUGAGAUUGGAGACUAUUAUCCUAAGUGAAGAAACUCAGGAAUGGAAAACCAAACAUUGUAUGUUCUCACUCAUAAAUAGGAGCCAAACUAUGAGGAUUCAAGGGCAUAAGAAUGGACUUUGGGGACUCAGGGAAAAAGGGUGGGAAGGGGACGAGGGUUAAAAGAUUACCAAUUACGUUCUUGUAUGCUGCUUAGGUGACGGGUGCACCGAAAUCUCACAAAUCACCACUAAGGAACUUACUCAUGUAACCAAAUGCCACCUAUUCCCCAAAAACCUAUGGAAAUAAGAAAUUUUUAAAAAAUACAUUAGGUACCAGGUGCAGUGGCUGACGCUUUUAAUCCCAGCACUUUGGGAGGCCAAGGCGGGUGGAUCAACUGAGGUCAGGAGUUCAAGACCAGCCUGGCCAACAUGGUGAAACCCUGUCUCUACUAAAAAUAUAAAAAAUUAGCUGGGCAUGGUGGUCCAUGCCUGUAAUCCCAGCCACUCAGGAGGCUGAGACAGAAGAAUCACUCGAACCUGGGAGGUGGAGGUUGCAGUGAGCCAAGAUGGCAGCAUUGCACUCCAGCCUGAGCAACAAGAGCGAGACUCCGUCUCAAAAAAAAAAACAAAAAAAAAAAGUUUUUUUAAUAAUUUAAAAGAUUCAUAUUUUUCUAUUCUCAUCUGUAUUAGUGGCCUCACUGGUGGCCAAUCUUCUGCCUGACUUACCACCUGUUAUUCUUCAACCAGCAGAAAAUCCUAUUCUGCCCGAGUUUUAUUUUUCAAA